ensembl:ribozyme RNaseP_nuc Nuclear RNase P
GUAGUGGGAAGCUCAUCAGUGGGGCUAUGAGCUGAGUGCAUCAAGUCACUCUUCCAUAGCCCUUGGGAAGGUCUGAGACUAGGACCAAAAGCAGCCCUAACAGGGCCCUCCCUGAGCUCCAGGGAGGUGAGUUCCCAGAGAGCAGGGCUCUGCACAAGGGCAGACUGGGCAAGAGAUCCCAGCGAGCCAGCCUGCAAGGAGAGACAGAGGGUCCGGAGCCAGCCUGAAGGCAGAGGAGUCAAGAGAAAAAGGUCAAAUAGAGAAGGAGGAGAGAUCAUAAAUUUACACUUUACACUUAC